GUGGAAGACGGGCAUACCCCAUUGCAAUGGAUAAGGGAAUCUAAACCACGGAGCAGAUCCUAAUGCAUGUAAAGCAUCAACACGACAGUGCUUCAUCUUAGGGAUAUUCUCUCUGCAGUGAUCGGAUAUUAUAUUUAAUACUGGUGCAUUCACAUCACAGCCUUUAUAGCUAUAUACUCCCACUGCCGUCAGAAGGAAAGCUACGGACCAUGUUA
rnacentral:misc_RNA from 1 species